rnacentral:misc_RNA from 1 species
GAUGAAGAACGCAGCGAAAUGCGAUAAGUAAUGUGAAUUGCAGAAUUCAGUGAAUCAUCGAAUCUUUGAACGCACCUUGCGCCCUUUGGCUAUUCCGAAGGGCAUGCCUGUUUGAGUAUCAUGAACACCUCAACUCUCAUGGUUCGCCAUGAUGAGCUUGGACUCUGGGGGUCUUGCUGGCCUGUGGUCAGCUCCUCUCAAAUAAAUCAGCUUGCCAGUGUUUGGUGGCAUCACAGGUGUGAUAACUAUCUACGCUUGUGGUUUUCCAUCAGGUAACCUUCAGUGAUGGAGGUUCGCUGGAGCUCAUAAAUGUCCCUCCUCAGCGAGGACAGCUUUUUGAACGUUUGAUCUCAAAUCAGGUAGGACUACCCGCUGAACUUAAGCAUAUCAAUAAGCGGAGGA